UACGGAGGAUGCAAGCGUUAUCCGGAAUUACUGGGCGUAAAGCGUGCGCAGGCGGUGAUGUAAGACAGAUGUGAAAUCCCCGGGCUCAACCUGGGACCUGCAUUUGUGACUGCAUCGCUAGAGUACGGCAGAGGGGGAUGGAAUUCCGCGUGUAGCAGUGAAAUGCGUAGAUAUGCGGAGGAACACCGAUGGCGAAGGCAAUCCCCUGGGCCUGUACUGACGCUCAUGCACGAAAGCGUGGGGAGCAAACAGG
rnacentral:rRNA from 1 species